rnacentral:rRNA from 1 species
AGAGUUUGAUCAUGGCUCAGAUUGAACGCUGGCGGAAUGCUUUACAAAUGCAAGUCGAGCGGUAGGGGGGCAACUCCUGAGAGCGGCGAACGGGUGAGUAAUGCAUCGGAAAGUGUCCAUUAGUGGGGGAUAACUAGCCGAAAGGUUAGCUAAUACCGCAUACGAUCGGAAGAUGAAAGCAGGGGAUCGCAAGACCUUGCGCUGAUGGAGUGGACGAUGUCUGAUUAGCUAGUUGGUGGGGUAAAGGCCCACCAAGGCGAUGAUCGGUAGCUGGUCUGAGAGGAUGAUCAGCCACACUGGGACUGAGACACGGUCCAGACUCCUACGGGAGGCAGCAGUAAGGGAUAUUGGUCAAUGGGGGCAACCCUGAACCAGCAAUGCCGCGUGAGUGAUGAAGGCCUUAGGGUUGUAAAGCUCUUUCACCCACGACGAUGAUGACGGUAGUGGGAGAAGAAGCCCCGGCUAACUUCGUGCCAGCAGCCGCGGUAAUUC